rnacentral:lncRNA from 1 species
GGCAAAACCAGUGUUUGAAAUCCCUGUCUGUUGACUAUAAACCUGGUACUUUUCACCACUGUAUUCUAUUUCCUCUUAGCAGUUCUCUGUCUUGAAUCUUAUUGUCUGCUUCUCAAAGGCCAAAGUGUAAACUUGCCUACAGAAAACAGAGAGAUUGGAGGAUUUCAGAGUAAAGAACACCGAAGACUAUGAGGCCAGGACGUGAGGAGGGUCAUCGCUAGUUUCUGGGGCCUCUGUUGGAACUUCCUGAGUGGGUGGCAACGACUCGCAAGUAGGGGAGGGGUGAGGAGGUUGGGCUUAGAUACCAGACACAGUGAUGAACAAUUUUUGUAAUUGACUCUCACGUUAGAGUGAUGAAGAAGAGACUGAUAUUAUCCUCAUUUUAAAUGUGAAAGGCUUUAGAGUCUUCUUACGGAAUUCUCUCUAAAUUGACUAGCAAAUGUGGAGCAGCUGAUUUAUAUGUUCUUAAAACGAUUAAGAAAGGCAGUAUUUCUUACCUGGUCGUAAGAAUCGUAUCAGUACUAGUUAAAAAUACUGAUGAUCAAGCCCUUUGAUUGGAGAGCCUUGUUUGGUGCUUUCACCAAAUGCCCAUGCGAAUCUUAUGGAACAGCAGCUUCCUCUAGGAGCUCCCGGGGCUUCUGUGCGGGAUUCACUUGAUUUUUGUUUACUCAGAGAAGUCCACACACAGUGAGCCCUACUAGUGCUUGGACCGUCCAUGGAUGUUCCUCUCUGAGCUCUCUUUCGUGCUUGGUCUAAGAGGUGGGACGAUAGAAACGCAUACAAGGCACCGUGAUAAGCCGUAGGCCAAAUUAACUCCACAUGCUUGGGACCACUGCAUAUUUUGCCUCCUACAGAAACAAAAGAAUGGUAUUUUUAGAUUCUGAACAAUUUUGCCAUCUAAACUGCGUCUGCUUUCAUGUCACUGCUUCAGAGAAUAGUGAUAUCUCUACUUUUAUCCUAAACUAAUUUGCCCACUUUGUCAUCACCCAUAAUCUCUGGAGUGGAUUGGCCAUUAUGUGAAGAGUGACAGAAGAAUGUGAAAGGAGACUCGAAAGGCAAUGGAAAGUAUUGGAUCUUUGCACUGCUCUUUAUUCUAACACCCGAAUAGAAAAGAUGGAAGAAAUCAAAGGACUGCAUUUAUCCUGGGAAAAAGUUGGAAGAGCAAUUGUCCUUUACAUGAAAGCUUUUGUUACUUUUAUGCUUCUCUUAUUACUAGAAGGUAUUUUUAUGUGUGAUCAUCAAAAGUGGUAAAGUAUAGGACAAUGGCAGAAAAUUCAUUUUAUAAUUAUCCUUUGGUAAAAUAGCUUUUUUGCUCACUUGAAUUGGAAGAAUGAGCAGACAUCAUAAAGACUGUGAACUGUUUGAUGCCAUAAAAUUUCUCUUCUUUUAUAAUUUCCUUUUACAAUUUCUUGAUAAUGUCUAGUAGAAAUUUUAAUGCUGUAUUUAUAACUAUCUAAACAUGGAAUUGAAACAAAAUAAGGAAUCCCAGAAUGUGCUUAUUAAUAUACAUAGAAAACUUUAAUUCCAAUUAAAAAUACUACUUCCUAACCACAGUGAAGUAUCACCUGACACCUGUGAGAAUGGCCAUUAUCAAAAAGGCAAGAGAUAACAAGUAUUCUUGAGGAUGUGGCGGAAAGGGAACCCUUGUACACUGUUGGUGGGAAUGUAGUAAAUUGGUAACAGUAACUAUGGAAAAAAGCAUGGAGGUGCCUCAAAAAGUUAAAAAUAGAGC